rnacentral:misc_RNA from 1 species
GGAAAUUGAAUUAGCAUCGUUUUCUGGCAACGCAAUUUCAACGGGAUAUGCAACGGGUUACAAGUGCGGUUUAAAUUUCCUUUUUUUAAUUUUUAGUGUAAAAUUUUGCUUUCACCGUGCUCUCUCCUUUAGGAUCUGUAUUUGUGCAUCUGGAAUGCAUUAUAAUGUUAAUUUUUCAAUUUUUGUAUCUUUAUUUGGAUCAUUUAUUACAUCCACAUAUGGCUUUUAUGUACCAGGUGUCGCCCCUGUUGAAUUUAAAAAAGGUGAAAGCAUUGAAGUUAAAGCUGUAAAAAUGACUAGUACUUUAACUCAGCUUCCUUAUGAAUAUUAUUCUCUUCCAUUUUGUCGUCCUAAAAAUGGUUCCAUUGUUUAUAAAUCAGAAAAUUUGGGUGAAGUUUUACGAGGUGAUCGAAUUGUCAAUACUCCUUAUGAAGUUCACAUGGCUGUAGAUCAGCCAUGUAGAGUAUUAUGUAAUAAUCCUAAGACUCCUCUUAACUGGUCUGUUGCUGAAUCUAAACUGGUAGCUAAUCGUAUUCAGCAUCAGUACUAUGUUCAUCUAUUGAUUGAUAAUCUGCCCUGUGCUACAAGAUUUGAAAUGUCUGAGAAUCAACCACAGUAUGAGCAUGGAUAUAGAUUAGGCUUUGUGGAAAAGGGAAUUCCGUACAUUAAUAAUCAUUUGAAAAUUAUACUGAAGUAUCAUACACAACCUGGGGAGAAUUACAGAGUUGUUGGAUUUGAAGUUGAGACCCGAAGCAUUGAUCUGUUGAGUUUGGAAUUUUCUGGAAAUACAUGUAGUUAUCCAGAAUUACAUAAAAGGCAGGCUGUCAAUGUUCAAGGGCCUACUAAACUAUUGUUUACUUAUGAAGUGAGUUGGGAAGAAAGUAACAUCCGUUGGGCAUCAAGGUGGGAUAUAUAUCUUGCUAUGACAGAUGUCCAGAUUCAUUGGUUUUCUACAAUUAAUUCAGUGGUUGUGGUCUUUUUCUUGUCAGGUAUUUUGACUAUGAUUAUCAUUAGAACUCUUCGAAGAGAUAUAGCAAGAUAUAAUAAAGAUGAAGAUAUGGAAGAUACUAUAGAAGAAACUGGGUGGAAACUUGUUCAUGGCGAUGUUUUCAGACCACCUAGAUAUCCUAAAUUGUUUGCUGCAGUUAUUGGCAGUGGAAUUCAGAUAUUUCUAAUGACAUUCAUUACAAUUUUUUUUGCAAUGCUUGGAAUGCUCUCUCCUGCUUCUAGAGGAGCUCUUAUGACUGCUGCCAUUUUCUUAUAUGUGUUUAUGGGGUGUGUUUCUGGCUAUUUUUCAGCUAGACUAUAUAAAACCUUAAGGGGAAUGCAAUGGAAAAAAGCUGCACUCUAUACUGCUACUCUUUACCCGGGUGUGGUGUUUGGAACAUGCUUCUUCUUGAAUUUCUUUAUUUGGGGAAAACAGUCAUCUGGAGCAGUUCCUUUUACGACAAUGUUAGCUCUACUAUGUAUGUGGUUUGGUAUUUCUUUGCCAUUAGUGUUCAUUGGUUAUUAUUUUGGGAUUAGAAAACAUCCUUAUGAACAUCCUGUGCGCACAAACCAAAUUCCUCGUCAGGUUCCAGAGCAAGUCUGGUAUAUGAAUCCAGUUCUUUGGAUUAUCAUUGGUGGUGGAGGUCUGUAAUAGUGUCUGGCGGAUCUGCUGUAUAUGUUUUUGCAUACUCUGUUUUCUAUUUUCUUACAAAGCUGGAAAUCACAGAGUUCAUUCCUACACUUUUGUAUUUUGGUUACACUGGUUUGAUGGUACUCACAUUUUGGAUUUUGAC